rnacentral:misc_RNA from 1 species
GCAAACUUGGUCAUUUAGAGGAAGUAAAAGUCGUAACAAGGUUUCCGUAGGUGAACCUGCGGAAGGAUCAUUAUUGAAUUAUGUUUCUAAAUGGGUUGUAGCUGGCUCUUAGAGCAUGUGCACGCCUGUUUGGAUUUCAUUUUCAUCCACCUGUGCACUUAUUGUAGUCUUUGGUUGGGGGAUUGAGAAAGAGGUCUACCUAUCAGUGUUUGCUGGAAGUGAGGACUUGCAACGGUGAAAGCUUUGCUGUCCUUUACUUGACCUUGGAAUCAUUUUCUCAUCAGAGUCUAUGUUAUUCAUUAUACCCUGUCGAAUGUUUGUGAAUGUCUAUACGUGGGCUUCUAUGCCUAUGAAAUCAUAAUACAACUUUCAGCAACGGAUCUCUUGGCUCUCGCAUCGAUGAAGAACGCAGC